UACGUAGGGACCAAGCGUUGUUCGGAUUUACUGGGCGUAAAGGGCGCGUAGGCGGCGCGGUAAGUCACUUGUGAAAUCUCUGAGCUUAACUCAGAACGGCCAAGUGAUACUGCAGUGCUAGAGUGUGGGAGAGGGAUGCGGAAUUCCAGGUGUAGCGGUGAAAUGCGUAGAUAUCUGGAGGAACACCGGUGGCGAAGGCGGCAUCCUGGACCACGACUGACGCUGAGUGAGCGAAAGCCAGGGGAGCAAACGGG
rnacentral:rRNA from 1 species